CGGCGAGUUACGAUUUGUUGCAAGGUUAAGCGGAAAAAGCGGAGCCGUAGCGAAAGCGAGUCUGAAUAGGGCGUAUGAAGUAACAGGUCGUAGACCCGAAACCAGGUGAUCUACCCAUGUCCAGGGUGAAGGUAAGGUAAUACUUACUGGAGGCCCGAACCCACGCACGUUGAAAAGUGCGGGGAUGAGGUGUGGGUAGCGGAGAAAUUCCAAUCGAACUUGGAGAUAGCUGGUUCUCUCCGAAAUAGCUUUAGGGCUAGCCUCGAGGUAAAGAGUCGUGGAGGUAGAGCACUGUUUGGACUAGGGGCCCUUCUCGGGUUACCGAAUUCAGAUAAACUCCGAAUGCCAUGUACUUAUACUCGGGAGUCAGACUGCGAGUGAUAAGAUCCGUAGUCGAAAGGGAAACAGCCCAGACCACCAGUUAAGGUCCCAAAAUAUACGUUAAGUGGAAAAGGAUGUGGGGUUGCUUAGACAACCAGGAUGUUGGCUUAGAAGCAGCCACCAUU
rnacentral:rRNA from 1 species